UGUAUUGGAAGGGCUCGUCGCCA
rnacentral:piRNA from 1 species